rnacentral:rRNA from 1 species
UACAGAGGGUGCAAGCGUUGUUCGGAAUUAUUGGGCGUAAAGCGCGUGUAGGCGGCUUUGCAAGUCGGGUGUGAAAGCCCUCAGCUUAACUGAGGAAGUGCGCCCGAAACUGCAGAGCUUGAGUACCGGAGAGGAUGGUGGAAUUCCCGAAGUAGAGGUGAAAAUUCGUAGAUAUCGGGAAAGAACACCGGUGGCGAAGGCGACCAUCUGGACGGAUACUGACGCUGAGACGCGAAAAGCGUGGGGGAGCAAACAGG